rnacentral:snoRNA from 1 species
AACCCCUGGCUAUGGGCAGAGAGACACCUGAUUGGUGGUGGUGCUCUUAUAUCAGUCAGGGGCAGAGCAGACUGGCAGCCCUUUGUUCAUCCUAGCUUGAUGAUCGUGGCUAGAGCUGUUUCAUGCCUAGGGCACAUUU